rnacentral:ribozyme from 1 species
ACCCCACGAAGGUGUCACCUCCACGUGGUGUGGGGUGGGCAACUCACUUUUAAAGUGAGGCUGAGAACACC